rnacentral:rRNA from 1 species
AUUGAACGCUGGCGGCAUGCCUUACACAUGCAAGUCGAACGGUAACAGGUUAAGCUGACGAGUGGCGAACGGGUGAGUAAUGUAUCGGAACGUGCCCAGUCGUGGGGGAUAACUGCUCGAAAGAGCAGCUAAUACCGCAUACGACCUGAGGGUGAAAGCGGGGGAUCGCAAGACCUCGCGCGAUUGGAGCGGCCGAUAUCAGAUUAGGUAGUUGGUGAGGUAAAGGCUCACCAAGCCGACGAUCUGUAGCUGGUCUGAGAGGACGACCAGCCACACUGGGACUGAGACACGGCCCAGAAUCCUACGGGAGGCAGCAGUGGGGAAUGUUGGACAAUGGGCGCAAGCCUGAUCCAGCCAUGCCGCGUGCGGGAAGAAGGCCUUCGGGUUGUAAACCGCUUUUGUCAGGGAAGAAAAGGUUCUGGCUAAUACCUGGGACUCAUGACGGUACCUGAAGAAUAAGCACCGGCUAACUACGUG